AACGAACGCUGGCGGCAGGCCUAACACAUGCAAGUCGAACGCCCUAGCAAUAGGGAGUGGCAGACGGGUGAGUAACACGUGGGAACCUUCCCUAUAGUACGGAAUAGCUCAGGGAAACUUGAAGUAAUACCGUAUACGCCCGAGAGGGGAAAGAUUUAUCGCUAUAGGAUGGGCCCGCGUCGGAUUAGCUAGUUGGUGAGGUAAUGGCCCACCAAGGCGACGAUCCGUAGCUGGUUUGAGAGAACGACCAGCCACACUGGGACUGAGACACGGCCCAGACUCCUACGGGAGGCAGCAGUGGGGAAUAUUGGACAAUGGGCGCAAGCCUGAUCCAGCCAUGCCGCGUGAGUGAUGAAGGCCUUAGGGUUGUAAAGCUCUUUUAGCAGGGAAGAUAAUGACUGUACCUGCAGAAUAAAGCUCCGGCUAACUUCGUGCCAGCAGCCGC
rnacentral:rRNA from 1 species